rnacentral:rRNA from 1 species
AGGAAUCUGCCUAUUAGUGGGGGACAACAUUUCGAAAGGAAUGCUAAUACCGCAUACGUCCUACGGGAGAAAGCAGGGGAUCUUCGGACCUUGCGCUAAUAGAUGAGCCUAAGUCGGAUUAGCUAGUUGGUGGGGUAAAGGCCUACCAAGGCGACGAUCUGUAGCGGGUCUGAGAGGAUGAUCCGCCACACUGGGACUGAGACACGGCCCAGACUCCUACGGGAGGCAGCAGUGGGGAAUAUUGGACAAUGGGCGGAAGCCUGAUCCAGCCAUGCCGCGUGUGUGAAGAAGGCCUUAUGGUUGUAAAGCACUUUAAGCGAGGAGGAGGCUACUUUAGUUAAUACCUAGAGAUAGUGGACGUUACUCGCAGAAUAAGCACCGGCUAACUCUGUGCCAGCAGCCGCGGUAAUACAGAGGGUGCAAGCGUUAAUCGGAUUUACUGGGCGUAAAGCGCGCGUAGGCGGCUAAUUAAGUCAAAUGUGAAAUCCCCGAGCUUAACUUGGGAAUUGCAUUCGAUACUGGUUGGCUAGAGUAUGGGAGAGGAUGGUAGAAUUCCAGGU